GCUUCCUUACUUCCCAUAGUGAAUGUGACGUAUGGAAUGUAAAGAAGUAUGGAGCUGCGCCCAGGUGUAUCAUCGAACCGGAAACACGUCGUGGGACCCGGUGUUCUCCGCGAGACAUGCUCAACAGCUGAUCAAACAGUUGACCACAUGUUUCUGCAGGCUGAAGACAGCAAGAUUUUGUUACGCUCGAUGAAAUCAUGGAAAACGACCGGUGCAUUCUGAUACGCUUUAGAAACGAUUCUUGUUUCCAUAGAAAAUCAACGGAGAGCAGUCGAAAGUCUCGAGAGUGCGCGAUGCAACGUUACGCGAAGUUUCCACGUUUGGCGCGGUCAUCGUAAUGGAAAAAGAUAUUAAACAGCUAUAGUCCGGUACUGGUAUCUAGAUGCCAGAAAUAGAGGCAGUUCCACGUAUACCGUAACGUGACUCGAGCAUCUUUCCAGGUCCAUGUGGCCUCUCCCGUGUUUUCUAUUUACGGUUCCGUCGUGACUACCAUGUGGUCGCCAGCUUUAUUUAAAUCGGCAAAAUAUUUCAAGGCGUUCCCAGGGCCCGUUUGUCUCCCCCGCCGAGCCACGAUUCAUAAACUAGAGAUUUUCUUCUUGCAGAUGACGACGAUGCACCGUUCGACCAGUAAAAACCGGGGAAAAAGUGCUCUGGUGUUCAGCUAAUCCUUUUUUUGUCUCGAUUCUGUGCAUCGUGUACCGACAGUAAACAUCACUUAUAGCGUAUAGAGAAGAAUGCACGGACAAGGAGGAUGGAAGGGGUGAAAACGGUAGAAAGGGAAGGGAGAGCCUGGAAGGAGAUGUUCGUCCGGUGGUGAAGUCAAAAAUAGGACGCAUGGUCACCAGCAUAUUUCCAUAAAUGAGUUCUCCGGUUACAGAGUCUAUUUGCGUUCCGGGCCGGCGACCGAAGUUGCAGCCAAUUACAAUCGGUUCCAGGACGAUUUACGAAUUCUGCGACAGAUCUAGGGAUCUAUUGUGCGCAGUAAUCCACGAAGUUGUUGAAACAGGAGAGUAAAACGCGCGUUCUUCCAUUCUUGCGGAGUAUAAUGAUUGCGAAGAUUGUGAUUACGAAAGAGGGGGUUAGAGAACAUGACGUCAGUGAGCUUCUGUGACGUAAUCGGACUUCGAUGUAUAUGUACUUAGGGAUUUGUAUUAAGUCAUGAGUAAUGCGAUUUUCCUGAGAGCAGGCUUUUAAACGACGAAGCUAGCUAUGAUGCUUUUGAUUGUGAGUUUUGUAAAAAGGGGAUAGAAAAGUGAUAAAUAAUUUUAGCAGAUGGAUGGCAAUAGGUCAUUAAUUAUUAUUGAUAGAUAGUCGUUUAUAUACACGUUGAAAAAAUUCUAUUGUUUAUUCUUACUUAUAUAUAUCUUAUAUAUAUCUUCUUUCUUAUAUAUAUUUACGUUAAAUACAUGUAAUUAAUAAUUGAUACGUUUAAUAUUUGUCUCAAAGAAUUAUGUCGUUGUAUCGAACAAUAUGAAUAUUUUAGAAGACUUUAAUUUUUAAUGCGAUAGGUUUGUAUUUAGAAAUGUUUUGUUAUAUAGGUGUCUUUUUGUAUUAUAAGAAAUUAGCAAAUCAUCGAGUGUUUAUAUCUUCACGAGCAACAGUAUUAUUAUAGUGAUAAUAAGUAUCUAUAUUUUGUAAAGGAAUAGAAAAACGUUUCAUUUUAAAAUAGUA